rnacentral:lncRNA from 1 species
UCAGGCCGAACCCAGAGCGUGCAUGCUCCCUUCGUGUCCCUUGUCCUAAGUUAAUGAGUAAACUUUGGUUAGGACGUUUGGCUUGUGAUAUUUCGGUGGCGGACACCCAACGUCUUAUCCUUCACUUAAACUUAAUCCUGCAGACCCAGCACCGGGGCAGGUUAGCCUUUUCUUCUCCAAGCUCACCCGCCCUCGCCCCUAUAAACUACCAAUGGACAUCCUCUGUGUUGGUCACUGGGAAGCACUGAAGGCUCGAAGGUGAUCUUUGAAAUAGCAUGGAGGAUUGCAACGCGUGGACUGCACGUGCGUAGCAGAGCUAAGCGGUUUGCUUAAGUGCAGUUAUCUUUGUUAUUGGUCAAAUUUAAGAAUGAAUAUUAAUCUCCAUUUUAUGGAAGGGAAGUUGAUAACCACAAUUCAGUGGUACGCAGAGGUCACCAGGCCAAUAGAUAUUACAGCGACGAUUUCUACCCUAGAUGGGCAGAUUACAAAGUGGGAAUAGUUAACCACUUUAUCUAUAUCUAUAUAUCUAUAUAGAUAUUCUCUACUCCCCCAGAAUCUUUUUCACAAACAUUUCUAUGUAAAUAGAAUAACUUCAUAGAGAAAGUAAAACACUCUUACAAUAAAAAAAUACAAAAAAAUGGAAGCAUCUCCUGCCCUUGCAGAAAAAUAUGAAACGCUUUGAGCCUCUCUCUUCUGACGACAUGCCCAGCUGUAUCACAGAGGAGAGUGUUAAGUCAGAACGGCGAUCUCCAUGACGACGGAGGGGAGCGGCUACCAAAAUGACCUUCCAAAGGACGGCCACCUCUGAAUGCUGUGAUACAGUGGUAACAUGGGAAAAUAAAGUCUAGCUAUUAGGAAUGAACUCUGUGAGGAGAAAGGAACCUUUAUUUAGGAAUUGUGUGAGAGAAAAGAGAGGUACAAGGAAAAUACAUUUCGAAGAUCUAACGACCACCACUUAUCUUAUCUCAAGACAAUAUUCAACUCUGUCAAAAUCCUAACAGUAAAGGAAAAAGG